rnacentral:rRNA from 2 species
AUGCAUGUCUAAGUACAAGCCUCAACAAGGUGAAACCGCGAAUGGCUCAUUAAAUCAGUUAUGGUUCCUUAGAUCGUACUAUCCUACUUGGAUAACUGUAGUAAUUCUAGAGCUAAUACAUGCAUUCAAGCUCCGACCCUCCCGGGGAAGAGCGCUUUUAUUAGACCAAAACCAGUCGGCGUUGGGGGGGCGACUCCCCUCGCCGUCUACCCUUUGGUGACUCUGGAUAACUUUGUGCCGAUCGCACGGCCACCGAGCCGGCGACGUAUCUUUCAAAUGUCUGCCCUAUCAAGUUUCGACGGUUGGUGACCUGCCAACCGUGCUGAUAACGGGUAGCGGGGAAUCAGGGUUCGAUUCCGGAGAGGGAGCAUGAGAAACGGCUACCACA